GAGCGAACGCUGGCGGCAGGCUUAACACAUGCAAGUCGAGCGGGCCUUUCGGGGUCAGCGGCGGACGGGUGAGUAACGCGUGGGAACGUGCCCUCUGGUUCGGAAUAACUCAGGGAAACUUGAGCUAAUACCGGAUACGCCCUUUUGGGGAAAGGCUUGCUGCCGGAGGAUCGGCCCGCGUCUGAUUAGCUAGUUGGUGAGGUAACGGCUCACCAAGGCGACGAUCAGUAGCUGGUCUGAGAGGAUGAUCAGCCACACUGGGACUGAGACACGGCCCAGACUCCUACGGGAGGCAGCAGUGGGGAAUAUUGGACAAUGGGCGCAAGCCUGAUCCAGCCAUGCCGCGUGAGUGAUGAAGGCCUUAGGGUUGUAAAGCUCUUUUAUCCGGGACGAUAAUGACGGUACCGGAGGAAUAAGCCCCGGCUAACUUCGU
rnacentral:rRNA from 1 species